AUUUAUUAUUAUAAUUAAGAGAAAACAAAAUCCAAAAGUACAGGGCAACUCUCUCAUUCGCCACUCUCUCAGAAUUCUCUCCGCACUCUUGAUAUCGCCCUAAAAGACAGUUAUAAUUGGGGGAGCAACGGCCAGAGGCAGAUAGAGUGUAUUUGCUACAAAUUCAACUGACGCAGAAUGUAGAUCCUGAUGUUUGGAUUGAGUCACGAGCUCAAAUCGAUUUUGCAAUCCAUAGAGGAUUUCCGCCGGACUCUGUCAAAUGAUAGUCAAGACCUUCCACUUAGCCAAGAGCAGAAUGAGACAAUAUGGUUAGAUGCGGUUGGUGGUCCGAGUAGGUAUAGGUAUGCUUAUGGCUUGCCACAAUGAACCUUUUGUGAAUUUCAUUCGAAACUAGAAGGCCUCAGUAGCUUCCAGGAUAAUGAGUCAAGGGAAAUGAUUUUGGCUUUGAAGCAGCAGAUAGCCAAGUUAUCUAAUAAAACUAAGGCCGCAUUGGCAAGGGAAAGGCAAAGGGAUAUACAGUAUGCGGGAAUGAAGGCCCAAUUCGAUGUAUUACUUUCUUUGGGGGGAUUCCCCCUUGUCCUGUUGAUGCAAUUCUCCCUCCUCCUCCAUCUCAGUCUCUACUUAUUUUACAUGGAGUACAUGGUCAAUACAGAGAUGUUACUGAAGAGCCCAGCAGUGAUAAAGAUGAUGAGGAUUAUUAUGUGGAGAAUACACCGCCACGUUGUUAAAGUUGAGUGUUGUAUUAGAUAAUUUAAACUAUAUAACAUAUGAUGGUUGAUUUAAAUUAUUAAGUUUUUUUAAUGCAUGAGAGCUUUGAAUUAGUCUAAACAAUAGUACUAUUGUAUGAAUAACUUGACUACUAUGUUUUUCGGUUCAAUUUCAAGGUACUCUACGUUGAUUUUCA